AUUGAACGCUGGCGGAAUGCUUUACACAUGCAAGUCGAACGGCAGCACGGGGGCAACCCUGGUGGCGAGUGGCGAACGGGUGAGUAAUACAUCGGAACGUGCCCAGUCGUGGGGGAUAACGUAACGAAAGUUACGCUAAUACCACAUACGAUCUACGGAUGAAAGCGGGGGACCGUAAGGCCUCGCGCGAUUGGAGCGGCCGAUGUCAGAUUAGGUAGUUGGUGAGGUAAAGGCUCACCAAGCCGACGAUCUGUAGCUGGUCUGAGAGGACGACCAGCCACACUGGGACUGAGACACGGCCCAGACUCCUACGGGAGGCAGCAGUGGGAAUUUUGGACAAUGGGCGCAAGCCUGAUCCAGCCAUUCCGCGUGCAGGACGAAGGCCUUCGGGUUGUAAACUGCUUUUGUACGGAACGAAAAGGCUCUGGUUAAUACCUGGGGCUCAUGACGGUACCGUAAGAAUAAGCACCGGCUAACUACGUGCCAGCAGCCGCAGUAA
rnacentral:rRNA from 1 species